AAUACAGAGGAGAGGAGCGACCGCGUCCAUCAGUACGCCGCCGACCGAUGGGACGAAGCUCCUGGCCAUGCCGCCCUUUCCCAGAUGCCCCGAUCCAGCGCCGCCUUCUUGUCGAGCGUCGGUGCGAUCUCGACGUGGUCCAGUGAUGCCACCCCUCUGCCACCAGCAAGAUCUCCGCCUCCAUCUACCUCUGCCUCUGCCAGCAGUACAUGCUCCGUCUUCCCUCUGCCGCCCCCCUCACUCACACUUCGCCUUCCGCCAUAGCCCUUCCCAUCAUGGCCCCGACCCCCUAUGCCUCCAUGUCGCCAGCCACAUCUAGCCGUUCGGAACUCUUCCUGUCUGAACCUGGUCGUCCUUGCCCACCCACUGCUCCAAUCUAAGUGCCCCACCUGUUGGUUGGCUUUUGCCUCUUGGAUGAUCAUAUUCGGGCAGGAAAGAGGCGAUAGAGAACCUCCUCCUCAUGCCCGUAUGAUCACCCAAGCACACGUGGUGGCCAUCUCCUUGUUCUUUGUCUUCACCAGAUACAGCCAGAUUUUGUUGCUCUUUUGAAGAGUCGAUCAAGCCACUUCUCGCUGCAUACUCCAAUGUAAUUUUGUCCUGGACUGGAAUUGAAGCAAACAUAUCAACUUCCGCAAAGAAGAUGCACUUAUGAUAAAAGAGCUUUGAUUAGCAUAUUUCAAAAGCAAAAAAAGGAAUGGUGACCUUCUGCAUACGUCCAUCUUUUUAAGUUAUUUAGUUUUCCAUUAAUAAAUAUAUCACCUCCGUGCAAGCGCUACUGCAUGAUCAGAUGAUCAAGAACUUCUUCACCAGUUAACGUGUCCCGGUACUAUGUAUUGCAAAAACUAUUCAUCUUUUGUGCACUGAAUAUGGUUAUCGUACCUCUAAAUAAUGUUUGUUUCUAUA